rnacentral:rRNA from 1 species
UACGGAGGGUGCAAGCGUUAUCCGGAUUCACUGGGUUUAAAGGGUGCGUAGGAGGGCAGGUAGGUCAGUGGUGAAAUCUCCGAGCUUAACUUGGAAACUGCCGUUGAUACUAUCUGUCUUGAAUAUUGUGGAGGUGAGCGGAAUAUGUCAUGUAGCGGUGAAAUGCUUAGAUAUGACAUAGAACACCAAUUGCGAAGGCAGCUCGCUACACAUAUAUUGACUCUGAGGCACGAAAGCGUGGGGAUCAAACAGG